rnacentral:rRNA from 1 species
UGACUGUGCUAAGGUAGCAUAAUAAUUUGUAAUUUAAUUGGUUACUAGAAUGAAUGGUCUGACGAAAAGUAACCUUUCUUAUGUAAAAAUUUAAAUUUAUCUAUUAGUAAAAAAGCUAAUAUUUAUUAAAUUGACGAUAAGACCCUAAAACCUUAAAUUAUAUUUUUACUGGGGCGGUAAAUUACUCAACAUAAUUUUUUUGAACAUAAUGAAUGAAUUUAACUUUCUAUCUUUAAAUCCAAAAAGGUACUUUAGGGAUAACAGUAUAAUUCUUAUAGAGAGUAUCUUAUCGACAUAAGAGAUUAUAACCUCGAUGUUGAAUUGAUAUACCAUUACUAAGCAACCAUAGUAGAUGUGAGUCUGUUCGACUUUUUAAAUAUCACGUGAUCUGAGUUCAGACCGGAGCACAGUCAGA